AGAGUUUGAUCCUGGCUCAGGAUGAACGCUAGCUACAGGCUUAACACAUGCAAGUCGAGGGGCAGCAUGGUCUUAGCUUGCUAAGGCCGAUGGCGACCGGCGCACGGGUGAGUAACGCGUAUCCAACCUGCCUUACACUCUUGGACAGCCUUCUGAAAGGGAGAUUAAUACAAGAUGUUAUCAUGAGUAAGCAUUUUCGCAUGAUUAAAGGUUUACCGGUGUAAGAUGGGGAUGCGUUCCAUUAGAUAGUAGGCGGGGUAACGGCCCACCUAGUCUUCGAUGGAUAGGGGUUCUGAGAGGAAGGUCCCCCACAUUGGAACUGAGACACGGUCCAAACUCCUACGGGAGGCAGCAGUGAGGAAUAUUGGUCAAUGGACGAGAGUCUGAACCAGCCAAGUAGCGUGAAGGAUGACUGCCCUAUGGGUUGUAAACUUCUUUUAUACGGGAAUAAAGUUAGCCACGUGUGGCUUUUUGUAUGUACCGUAUGAAUAAGGAUCGGCUAACUCCGUGCCAGCAGCCGCGGUAAUACGGAGGAUCCGAGCGUUAUCCGGAUUUAUUGGGUUUAAAGGGAGCGUAGAUGGGUUGUUAAGUCAGUUGUGAAAGUUUGCGGCUCAACCGUAAAAUUGCAAUUGAUACUGGCAGUCUUGAGUACAGUUGAGGUAGGCGGAAUUCGUGGUGUAGCGGUGAAAUGCUUAGAUAUCACGAAGAACUCCGAUUGCGAAGGCAGCUUACUAACCUGUAACUGACAUUGAUGCUCGAAAGUGUGGGUAUCAAACAGGAUUAGAUACCCUGGUAGUCCACACGGUAAACGAUGAAUACUCGCUGUAGGCGAUAUACAGUCUGCGGCCAAGCGAAAGCAUUAAGUAUUCCACCUGGGGAGUACGCCGGCAACGGUGAAACUCAAAGGAAUUGACGGGGGCCCGCACAAGCGGAGGAACAUGUGGUUUAA
rnacentral:rRNA from 1 species